UUUUGAGGUGAUACCACAAAAGCAUGUGUGUGAUGCAAGAUGGGGAGAAUGGAUGAAGGAAAUCAGGGCUUAACACAUAAAAUCAGGAAUACAGACUGAGUCACCAGCCAUUGCUGUAUCUCUGCAAGAUAUUUCUUUCCUUCACCUGAUAUUUUUGAGG
rnacentral:lncRNA from 1 species